CAGCUAGCUUGCUCCUCUGCACCCUUUUGUCAAUGAUCGUGCACACACUUCCUAGCCUUUUGCCAGCACAGAAGGUAUUGUUUAUGUCAUAAUGACCGGCAAUUGGUGACACCAAGUGCAAAUAUGGGAUAAUGGCAAACUUUCUUUGCUAAUCCAUGGGCAAAAGCGUGGCACUUGGCCCUCUUUGUGAUCCCUCUUCAAGCAUUGAAACAAUUGCUAUGAAGUGUAGACGUUUCUUUUGGGCAGGGUCUGUACAUAACGAAGUCAGGGGACUUAUACAGCCCCAGUACUAAGUAAUAUAUACUUUGUGUAAGUGGACCGAGCCUUUGAACAAGAUUUCAAGGGUAUUGCACAAUAUGUUUUAGAUACGUCAACGUCUACUUGGUUUUUGUUGAUCACGUUGAUUUUAUGGGGUCUAUUAUCCAGGUUCCAAGCAUACGUAUAAGCAAUGGGGCAGAGGUUGAUGCUGUGCUUCUCAAAUCCCAAUGGACAAUGUCUUGUCAUUCUAAGAUUCCAGAGGGAUCAUGUUUGCUUGUGUUAUUCCCUCCAUUUGGCUGAAUCACUUUUAAGCUAUUCCUCUGGUUAUUCAAAAAUUGUAAAGAAUAGAUUGGCUAUGUCUGUUUUUAUUCGGCUUUAAUGAAGUUCUGUCUUCACACUGUAUGUGAGAGUCCUUUACUGCAGGUUGACAGUUUGGAAGCGGCUGGUUUUCCACGCUUGGUCCUUGCCUUUGCUUAACAGCGAUUGCUUCAAUGCCUGGGAAGUGUAGAAAAAGAAGGUCCAGAUGCUGCAGUUUUGCCCUCAGAUAGGCGAAAAAAGUUUGCCAUCAUCCAAUAUUUGCACUCGGUGUCACUCUGUUUGAAAAAGGUUGCCAGUCAUUAUGACAUGGAUGUUGUCUUCUGUGCUGGCAAAAAGCUAGGAACUGUGUGCGUGAGCAUUCACUAGGGAGCGCAGAAGGGGCAGGCCACUGCCAGCAGAAUGGUGUACUCCAUUCCUUUGUCGUGCGGUGGUAUGUACAUUGGGCGAAUGGGACAAUGUCUCAAUGCCCGUCUAACUCUUUCGUUACCAUGCCUAUACAAAUCAAUCACGAGUGAUUGAAGCCUUGAAAAGUGUAAUUCGACAUGUUGAAUUUGCUUCUUAUGUACCUAGCACACCUAGUGGCUAGUGCAGCCACUGGGCAUUUAAAAUCAGUUUCAAUUUGCUAGUUUUUGCAACAUAGUGAUGUUUGACAGACAAUUGUACAAAACAAUGUGUGUGUAGUGUUAAUAAAAUGUGUUUGGUUGACGAACUUAAGACACAUUCAUGUAGGUCAUGAUUAUGCUUCAUUAAGUUCUGCAAUAAAAUGAGCUCUUAUAAGUGAAAUAUUAAAAUGUGAAGUUCACUUUGCAAUCUGAUGCUGGUGGGUGGAAACUGCCUGAAGUUUAUGACAGCUAUUCACUAAAGUGCUGUUGUUUAGUGUCGGGGGGAGAUUUAUUCCACCAAAGCUUACUUCCGAAGGUCUGCCACAUGUAUAACAUGUGUAGAUCACCUUUUCUGCUAGUUUCCAGCAGUUCUGAUUUUGCUUCCAUUGUUAUACCGAGCACAGGCUCUCACCCAGUAUCGCUAUUUGCUCCCAUGGCAUCGUCAUAACAUGCGCAUGGGUGCCCACCUGUGCCGCAAAAAAUGUGCAUGCUGUUCGAAAAGGUAUUGCAACACCACUUCUGAAUUGAGUGACAAUCAGCUUUAUGUCGAAGAUUACAGCACCUCGGCUUCAAGCUCUGACGGCGACAAUGUCUUGCAUCAGCCUGGGACAUCUGCAGCCGUUCGGGGCUUGGUUUCGUUUACGGCCUCAAGUGGUCUCUCCUGCCACGUGUUCGUAGCUACUGACCUUUGUGCGCCAUCUUAGAGCUAUUCUGGUUACAUUUGAGGUCCACAAGGCGCUGGCAGGCAAUGUGCUGGCACCAGCUGCAAUGCUGCUUUUAGGUGGCUUAAAGCUCACCUUGGCCCCACUCUACAAAGCAGCAUGAGACAUUGUAGGACUGCACGUGAUUUUCAAUACAAUCUACAAAAUACAAAUAAAUAUGCUUGGAUGCAUAUUUUGAAACGCUAAGCUAUGAAGAGAGAGGUAGCUCAUAGGAAAAGAUUGUGAUGGGAGAAGUGGUGAAGUUCACAGAAAUUCCAAUAUACAUAGCAAUGUAUAAAUUGGAAUUUAUGUCAAUUGUAUAGGUAUGUAAAUUGAAAACCGCAAUGUGAACAAUUCCUAGGCAUUGUUCACAUUGCAAGCAUUCAUCUAUAUUUGAACACCUGCAGGCUCUUCUUGAAGAAAGCAAAGAUUUUGUGUGAAAAGUGCACAAGUGUAGCUGUCUCACAAACAAAAAACAGGAAGUGCUCUACUGCAUUGUGCGGGCAAUAAAAUAGUACUUUUGUUUGAGUUACUUGUUUGUGUUCAUGAGCAACACAGAGCAUUUAUAAUUUUUUUAUGCUAUUCCUAGGUCAUUGAUCUUCAAUAUGUAGGUUUUGAAUUUGCUUUGAAUUGAAUGUUUUUACAUAUAUGGUGUCUUUAUUGCUCUGUUAAUCAGCUGGCAAUAAGAAAUUGCACUUUCAGAUUUUUCUACAUUCUACAAUAUUUUUGUUGCUUUACAACUUGAAAUUUUUAGAAAGAGCAUUUCAUAAUGCUUAAUUUAGUAUGCUGCGACGCAUGCGAGAAUACUUUUCAAACUGGCAAAAGUUUUCUUUCCAAAACAUAUGAAAAAUGACUAUUUUCUCAUGGUAACGAAAAAGCUAAGAGAGCAUGCUAGCUCUCUGAAAUGUAGACCAUCCGCGCAUCUGUCCAUGCAUUGUCGGCAGUGCAGUUGUGCAGCCCAGCUAAACAAAACGACUGUAGUAGUAAGGCAUAAGGACCAGCGCAUGCAUAAAAUCCCAGAAAUGUUCAACAUAACAAAAGCAUGAGCCAGCCUUCAAUUGCCCUCACUGAUGUUUCUUAUCUACAACAUACAUGAUCACAUGCUUGGUCGGAGGUGAUACGUUAUUGCUGGUGCCUUCCUUGCAUGCCAUGUUUUUCCCGUUAAAUUUUCUCUUGUUAGGCAGUGCUUGUGCCAUGUACUUUCUUCUCUUUGUGUGUGUCCUUUUUUGGGCUGACGGUCAUGAAAUAUGGAACGACACAUGCAACAGAGAUGUCGUUUUCAGCAAUGUACUGUAAUUUUCAAGAACCAGUGAUUUCAUGUGCUCAAGCAUGUGCUUUUUUCUGGGCUUUAAAGCCGCAAGAUUUUGUGACAUGCAUAUGGUAUUUUGGCUACAGUAAACUCCAAUCAAUUGAAAGCCAUUUUUUCGCAGGGUCCACAUGUGUGAAUGUUUUGCAUUGCCCACCCAGAUGUAGCGACCUUCCCCCAGUUAUAGUGCUUUAGUGAGCUUCUAUAUUUCAAUUUCUAAUAAUUGUGAGUUAUUCCUUUUUUGUAGUAGCUGACAUAUAAAAAGGUCUUCUGUUGCACCAGUUUGAUAGCAUUUGCCACAGAAAUGGGCUCAUUUUCACUGUUUUUUUUUAUUUACUGCAUAUAAUAUGACCAUGCAGGCUGUGACACAUCAAAUGACUAGAUUCUCUUCAUGUUUGUAUUAUUUAUUCAUUUUUACAAAAGUGAUGAGAGGGCAUGAGAAAAAAAACAGGUGUGAUGAAGGAUUUCUAUGCAGGGAAUGUGCUUUGACAGGCAGUCCAAAUGUCGGCUGCAGCACACAAUCCCUGUUUAUGAAUUUUUCAUGAAAAUGCAUACAUUAAGCAGACCAACGUAGCUUAGCUACUAGCCAGGGCCAUGUAAAAAUGCCAUCUAUUCUCCAAUGGGAAAAGCUAAUCUGUGGCAAAGAUAUGGCAACAGCCUUGGAAAGCCAAUAAAGUCUAAGCGGCAGCAGUAGGGUCUGCGUAUAUGCAAAGCAUUCUGUAGGGCAAUGUUACUUUGUUGAAAUACCACAGCAGAAACUUUGCUGCAUUAAAUAUUUCAUGCUAAUGAAAUACCUACUUUAAGACAAGAUUGUGCAACGAAGAUCUAAAGUUUCCUGAAGAAGAUGCAAAGUAUGCAUUGUUUUGAACAUGACUAUCAUGAUGUGGUCCAGCUCCCACUACUGUAUGCAGUUCUUGUGGUGCCAAAAGGUGUAUAGCCUUUGAGGUCAAAUCCUUGCUUUGAUGCACUAUCUCAGCUAAUGUCAGAAAUUGUAUAAAGGCAGAGCUGGUAUUUUACGCUCUCUUAAAGCUAUAUAGCAACACUUGAGCACUAGUGGCGUCAUCUUAAAAUAAGUGCGCAUAUAAUUUAAAACUUAUUAUAAACAGGGUGUUGGAGCUGAGCACACUCUAUAUUGGUCUGGUUCAGAUAGAUAAAAAAAGGUUUGCAACAGUUUGCAACUCUGAACUAGUUCGCCAACUGGUUUGGCAGAGUACACAGCAUCUUCAGCAUGUUACACCAGUUGUUACACUAUCACGCUAGUUCUAGAAUGUGUGCCUGCUGGAGUAGCAAGCUGUGUGUUGUAUUUCAGUGAAAAAAGUGCUGGUGUCAAUGAUGUUUCAUACAUUCACUAGCCCUGUGUAACCUGAAUUGUAAUUUGUGUUCCUAUUUAAGCUGGCAUCUCUUUGUGGGCAUGUGCACUGUAACAGCUUACAGCCUGUCAUCUCUAAUAGUUGUGAAAAACUCACUGAAGAGUGUACUCCUCUCAGCACCUAUCAUUUUCAAAGCCUACCAGUUUUGUUUUGUUUUAUUUCAGAGUCAAUACUCAUUAGUAAGAAAGUUUAGGGAAAGUAUGUGUACUUCCAUAUCAAAUGCAUAGCAAGGCCCUCUGUACCAGUUAUUUCUGUAGAUUACGGGAGUGUUUCUUAUGCAAUUCUUCACUCUGAUAAGUAUUCAGGAAGUUUUAUUGGAUGAGUAAAAGUAGCAAUUUGCAAUUUUAAACCUCAAGAAAAAAAAAGAGGCCCACUGUUUUGAUCAAGUGAGGAAUGUGAAAAGCCCUAAUAAACUCCAAGGAAGCACCCUCUGUUGCUUUCAGAGGAAAUAUUAAAUAGCGUUUUGUCAUCCA